GCCACCUCCACCCUGUUUCUUCUGACUUGCGCCGCCCGUCGCGCCCAGCCUAGGAUCGGCGUCGCAUCAUCUCCACGGAUGCCUCCCCGGCGCUGCAGUGCCUUCAUGCCUCUAAGCGGGCUUGGCAGCAGCGCGCGUGGCGGAAGAGGGCACCGGCAGCUGCGAGGAGGAUUGAACAAGGGAAGCCGGAGAUCUGGGAGCGAUGGCAUGACGGUUGACCUUACCUGCAACCUCUUGUGCCAAUCUCCCCCCUGCCAGCGCCGCCCGGUCGAAUCAUUCACUUCUCGUGGCUCAUCUCUCAUGUUAAUGUGUUUACUCUGCUCUAGGAGCGGGCCGAGCGGUGCCGAACGCUACUACUCCGCAGAGUCAGAAGAGCUGAGCGGAGCAGACUGUAGUUCAAUCCGGCGGAGUCGUUGAAACCGAGCUCCGCGUGCCACUCCCUGGCCUCCCGCGCAAAACUUCCAGGUUCGCUUGAUCCAAUUUUCUCGCUAGCGCGCAGCAACUACCUGAACCUCACACCCCGUCGUGUAGGGAGUGGAGUUAGUUAACGAACGUGGUAGCUACUCCCGAUUUUUUGGGCCGGAGCCAAUAAUCCAGGAGCAGGGAGCGGAGUCAAGGAUUCAAAGGAGUGGAGGAGAUCCGAACACGCCCUAACUUCCACAUGAAUCUAAUUCUGCCAUGUUCUCUCAACCGUUGCCUGAUGGCCAUCUUAUGUUUGGUGGCUUGGGGGAGUAGGCUUAGUUUUCUUAAUCAGUUUUGGAUUUCUCAAAUUUUGGUGUGUGCAUUUGGGCUUAUGGAGUUAGCCAUUUUGGUUGGUCUAUUUUGAUUACUGCAGGACUGGUUGUUAUAGAGUUGGAGCAGAGGGGUUGAGCAACUACUGAGCUUAUUGUAAUCACAGCUGAGUGAUAAGAUUCUAGAAUUGGCUCUCCUUUAGUCUGUAGUAGUUUUGUACUUCAAAAAAACAUGGACGGCUUACUAUGAUAGGCAAUACUAAUAAUAUUUGUACAAAAUAUUGUACAACUCUGGUCAUGCUUUUCUAAAAUGUUUAUAUCUAACUUUACAUUAUAAUCAGGUUAAAAAAAUUCUAUGUACAAGCUAGAAUUCUAUCCAUGUCAUCCCUAAUAUUCUGUUGUCUCUUCCGGCUCAAAUGCUUGGCAUCCAAAAGAGCAAAAUAGCCACAAUACUGCAGACCCGUGGAUCCUUCUCUGUAUCUAAAUAUAAGCACUGCCAUCCAGUUAAGAACAGUGCUAUUCUCCUUCUUAAAUGGAAAUAAAUAAAUGGCACCUUCUAAAGGUUGUGUUAAAGAUUUUUUUCUCUGUCCUUCUAAAUUAGUUGUUGAAUUCUCUACCUAAUUGUUAUGCAUCCCUGCAUAUGAUAUUUAGGAUUGGACUGGCAAGCGGACGCAAGAAGAUCCUCUCUGUGUUUACAUUCUUAUAUCUAUAUUUUCUAUGCGGCCAGUCUGCUAUUUCUUAUGCAAAUAAAUUCUGUCAAACAUACUAUUAAAGCUUCUUAAUUGGGUGCUAAAACUUCGCAAAUGCUUGGUACUAAAUUUUCUGGAACUGAAACUGCAUAACAGUUUAGAUAUGGUUUCCCUCUUGCCUUUUCAUUUGCCAAUGAGUUGCAAGAGUCAACUUGGCUCCUACUUUCUGUCUUUGGAUCACUUACUUCUAAUUGUUUAGAAAAAGAAACUUGCAUGUUGGAUCUGAAUGGAAAUAAGUUUUUAAAUGUACACCCCAAUUAAGCAGCAGACUAAUUAGUCUGUGAGAUACAAUUUCUUUUUUGAAAUUUUGUGAGAUACAUUUUAACUUGUAGUGCUUCUUUAUUUUUCUCACCUUCAUUAUUUGAUGAAAAAUUAUGUUAUUUUAUUUUUGCCAGGCCAGGAUUGUCUAUUCAUACAUUAAGCUAUAUACCCCCUCUGUAAACUAAUAUAAGAGCGUUUAGAUCACUAUUUUAGUAAUACAAAUGCUCUUAUAUUAGAUUAUGGAGGGAGUAAAUGUUUAGUUUCUUAUUUUUGUUAUUCCUUAUGGGCGGUACAAAUGGCAAAGUGGCGGCCUUUCUUUUACAUGGGUUUCUAAUACGACAAGUUCAGCAAUGACUCAACUGGCAUUUUGAUGUUUGUGGCUAUAAUUUCCGAAAUUAAAGUUUACAAACAAAUAUAUUUCUACUGCAUAUGUCAACAGGUUUGGGGAAGAUGUGCGUGCAAUGGUACUUAUAGUUAUUUCUACUUAAAGACCAAUGCGGUCUCUUCCAUGCACUUAGUCACUUUUUGUUUCCAAUAUCUAAAUCAAUUUUAUAAACAAGUAACGAUCAGGUUCGUGGAAGAGGUGUGUAGAAUCCUCGCCUACAACUUUGCCUGCUUAAGCAAAUCUAUAUCAGAUUUCCUUAUGCCCAGUUUUCUUCUUAUGUCCAGUAUCUGGCUUCAGUGUACAACCAUGAGCCUUUUCUUCUUAUGCACAAAAGGAAAAAAUCAUUGAAGAUUUUACCAUGAAAAAAAUUGAGAGCUAUGUUUUCUUGCGCACUCAUAGAUCAUAUUUUCAUCUGUUGUUUAAUACUCCCUCCAUUCCAUAAUGUAGUGUGCCCACGCUUUUCGAGAUUUAACUUUGACCAUACAUUUAACCAACAUGGGCGACUGCGGCAGGAGCAAGACAGAUACCUUUGAAUUUGUAUUAGGAAGAAGUUUUCGAAGGAUAAUUUUUCAGUAAAAUGAUUUAUGUAUUAUUGGUCUAAUUUAUGGUCAAAGUUGAAUCUCGAGAGCGCACUACAUUAUGGAAUGGAGGGAGUACCUUAUUUUGACACCCCCACCCAAGCCACCAGCACAUGAUCCAGAAUUGUGAUCGUAUGAUUGUAAUUUUCACGUCUAUGGCGGGGGAUGCAGGUUCAGUAGAGUACUAUUUCCAAUGGUUAUGAGCAUAUCCUAAUUAAUCAGAUAGAUCUUUUGGCUGCAUCAAAUUGGAGUUUUGGUUUUGUAAUCCACCUUCCUUCCAUUAUGAAGGCAUAAUAUUUUCUUAUCACGUCAUACUGCACUACAAAUGGUUAAAACCCGCUGCCGAUUAGAGAAACAAGAAUAAUGGUGCAAACUUCAGAUAGGCAUAGUUCUUCAUCACUGUGCAUUUUACUGGUCUAAGAGUUGGAGCAAAAUUUAAUGGCCUUGGUUUGGCUCGAAUGCGUACUUCUUUUGGCAAAUGUCAAGUAGCAGUCUCUGUUCUCUAGCUAUGCUGCACUAUCUAAGACUUCUCUAUUUGACUAGACUUCUCUUUUCUUCUCAGGAAGUGAACUCAGGCUAGAGGCUUCGUUGGUGGUUGCACUCUUCAGAGCGUCUUCAUGCACUUCAUAUAUGUGAAGAAGAAUUUCAAAAGUUAUAAUAUCCUCACAGGAACACAACUGUAUGAAACAAACAGUUGGUUCGCACUUCUUGAAACAGGGUAACUUCGGAAUAUGCAGAUUGAUCUUACAUAUUUAGAGAUCACCAUACUUUCAAGCAAGUUAUAUACACUCGAGUAGUUGCUUAUUUCGACCGAAGUAAAACUUAUGAUUAUUUUAUCAUUCAUGGUUCUGUCAAGUCUGUAUCAUUUAUCUUGAACAAAUUGAAGGAGCAAUCUAGGAUACAGUGUUCUCAUGGACAAAAUCAGGGUAAAUCCAUUAACAGAACUACUACAAAUAACGUAAGCAACAGAUGCCUGUGAGAUGAUAGGGAGGUGGAAAUUGUAUCGUAUGAUGAAAGAGACUAAAUGAUGCUUCAGUCAAUGAACCGUAUGAUGUUUUGAACAUUAUGAAGUUGGGGCUUUAAAAUCCUCCAAAUUUCUAAAUAGCUUGUUUUUUAACUGGUAGCUUGUUACAUUUUCAUUUUUGAUCUGUUAUUUAGGGAUGUUUGUUUUCUUUGCUACCUGGUCUCUUUUACUCAUGUAGAGGUACUCCCUUAGAUCUCAUAGGUUUUCAUGUUUUGUUAAGCUUGGAUAUGAAUUGCAACAGGCCUCCUUUUC